AUUGAACGCUGGCGGCAUGCCUUACACAUGCAAGUCGAACGGCAGCGGGCCCUUCGGGGUGCCGGCGAGUGGCGAACGGGUGAGUAAUGCAUCGGAACGUACCCGGGAGAGGGGGAUAACCGGCCGAAAGGCUGGCUAAUACCGCAUGAACUCGGAAGAGCAAAGCGGGGGACCUUCGGGCCUCGCUCUCUCGGAGCGGCCGAUGUCCGAUUCGGCUAGUUGGUGGGGUAAAGGCCCACCAAGGCGACGAUCGGUAGCGGGGCUGAGAGGACGAUCCGCCACACUGGGACUGAGACACGGCCCAGACUCCUACGGGAGGCAGCAGUGGGGAAUCUUGGACAAUGGGCGCAAGCCUGAUCCAGCAAUGCCGCGUGGGUGAAGAAGGCCUUCGGGUUGUAAAGCCCUUUCGGCGGGGAAGAAAUCUGUCAGGCGAAUAGUCUGGCCGGAUGACGGUACCCGCAGAAGAAGCACCGGCUAACUACGUG
rnacentral:rRNA from 1 species